rnacentral:rRNA from 1 species
CCAAAAACAUCGCCUCUUGAUAAGAUAUAAGAGGUCCAGCCUGCCCAGUGACAUAGUUAAACGGCCGCGGUACCCUGACCGUGCGAAGGUAGCAUAAUCACUUGUUCCUUAAAUAGGGACUUGUAUGAACGGCAUCACGAGGGCUUUACUGUCUCCUUUCUCCAAUCAGUGAAACUGAUCUCCCCGUGAAGAAGCGGGGAUACCAUUAUAAGACGAGAAGACCCCAUGGAGCUUUAAACCCAACGACACCCCUCAACCCCCACAACCCUUUAUAGUUGCUACAGCCCUGUUCGUUGGUUUUAGGUUGGGGUGACCGCGGAGCAUAAAUUACCCUCCACGACGAAUGGGACUACCCCCUUACCCAAGAGCUACUUCUCUAAGGAUCAAUAAAUUGACGUAAAGUGAUCCAAGUAUUUGAUCAACGGACCAAGUUACCCUGGGGAUAACAGCGCAAUCCAUUUCAAGAGCCCCUAUCGACAAAUGGGUUUACGACCUCGAUGUUGGAUCAGGGUAUCCAAGUGGUGCAGCCGCUACUAAUGGUUUGUUUGUUCAACAAUUAAACCCUACGUGAUCUGAG